CCUACGGGAGGCAGCAGUGAGGAAUAUUGGUCAAUGGCCGGAAGGCUGAACCAGCCAAGCCGCGUGAAGGACGAAGGUGCCAAGCAUUGUAAACUUCUUUUGUCAAGGGACAAAAUCAGGCUCGAGAGCCUGACCGAGGGUACUUGAAGAAAAAGCAUCGGCUAACUCCGUGCCAGCAGCCGCGGUAAAACGGAGGAUGCGAGCGUUAUCCGGAUUUAUGGGGUUAAAGGGGUGCGUAGGCGGACUGUUAAGUCAGCGGUAAAAGCCCGGGGCUCAACCCCGGCGAGCAGUUGAGACUGGCUGUCUUGAGAUGUCGAGAGGUAUGCGGAAUGCGCGGUGUAGCGGUGAAAUGCUUAGAUAUUGCGCAGAACUCCGAUUGCGAAGGCAGCAUACCGGCGGCGAUCUGACGCUGAGGCACGAAAGCGUGGGUAUCGAACAGGAUUAGAUACCCGAGUAGUC
rnacentral:rRNA from 1 species